GGACGCGGCGGACGCGGAGCCCUGCUGCACCGGGAGCGACACCACCCAGUAUCGGCUCGCCAUUGUCUUCCCGAGCUCGCUGGCGGCGGCGGCGGCGGCGGCGAUCGGCGAUCGGCGAUCGGCGGCGGAGAGAGGGCGGCGAUCGGAGGAGGUGGUGGUCGUGGGAGUGCGGCCCGUCGAGAGUGGAGCGAUGCGGUGGCGAAACUCCUUUUCCUUUCGUUUCCUUCGUUUUUUGCCGGACGUCGCUCCAAAAUCUCGCAGGCUGCGGU
rnacentral:lncRNA from 1 species